CAUUAAGAAGCUACCUUAGCGUUAACCUUUUAAGUUAAAGAUAGGAAGGGACAAACCUUCCCUUAAUGA
rnacentral:tRNA from 1 species